AUAGGAAAAACCCUAACUUCCUAUUACAGAAGCAGUCCCUAACCUGUUGGCCGUUUCCUAUCUUAUCUUUAGCCUCCUAUCUUAUCUUAACUUAGGUGAUCCUAACUGUUCUUUUAAUCCGAUUUUUCGAUCGGCAAUCGUCACGUGAUGUCUGGUUCUGCACAUAAUGCGCACGAGAUUGAUAUAAGGCUUAAUAAUAACGGCAAUAAUAACGGUUAAUAAUAACGGCAAGCUUGUAGCAGUAGUACGGUCAUGGCGGGGAUUGCUACGGAAAACAAGAAGAGGAGGGGUUUUAACUUUGCCAACGACGAGCUGGAGGCAUUAGUUCAGGUGGUGGACGAAAGGAAAAGUAUUUUAUUCGGCAAAUUUUCCCCAAAUUUAACGUCGCGGAUCAAAGCAAACAGAUGGCAAGAGGUGUCGGACGCUGUCUCAGCGGUUUGUGGGGUACUGAGGACGGUGGACAGUAUAAAGAAAAAGUGGUCGACCAUAGCGAGUGACGCCAAGACCAGAGGGACGCUACAGAAGAGGGACCAGGCAAAGACGGGGGCUGGUAUGCCAGAAGUGAAGCCUAUAACCAUGCUAGAGGAGAAGAUCCUGGCCACCAUGGGUCAAGUUUACACCCAAGGCAUUUCAACCGGCAUAGAGGUGGGCCUGCCUGAGGAGAUCCUUGAGAACGUCAGUGCCGAGGUGUCUGAAUCAACUGAGGUCAUACUGACGUUGAUGGAUUCAGAGUGUGACAGCAGGACUCUGCCAACAGCAAUAAUUAUCCCAUCACCUGCUAAAAAGAAGAAACACAUUAGCCUACAAGAGGAGCUUCUGGAGUUGGAGAAGGAGAAGCUGUUGGUGAUGCGAGAGACACUAAAUGUUGAGAAGGAGAGACUGAAAUUGGAUAAAGAAAAAUUUGAAUUCAUGAAGGAGUAUUUUAUUGACCACGGGAACAAUAUUGUGAACUUAUUUGAACAAUGAAGUGAAAUAAUUUGUACACUUAUUCAAGUUUGAUUGAGUUAAACUGUUAAUUUAUUUUUUAUAUUGAAUUAAAUAUUUUACAUUAAAUUGGUAUGUUUUCUUUUUAAUUAUCUUAUCUAAAAUAAUGUGCAAUAAGAUUGUUUCUGGCAGUUCUACCAGUCUGUGCACCAUCAUGUAUGCCAUCAUGGCCUUCCUCCUCAUCUUCAACCAUGGCCGGGACGUCCUUAGGGUCCGGGAGAUUAGCAAACCUGCAUAUGUUUUGCAACACAGCAGUGGCCUUCACGAACAUCACUGCUCUCUCAGGGGAAUAUUGAAGAUAUCCCCCACUCAUAUCAUGGCAUCUCCAUCUACAACAUCAAAAGUUAAUCAGUUUGUUUGCUUACAAUGCUUUCCUUUUUGGUGUGA
rnacentral:lncRNA from 1 species